AGUGAACGCUGGCGGUAGGCCUAACACAUGCAAGUCGAACGGCAGCACAGUAAGAGCUUGCUCUUACGGGUGGCGAGUGGCGGACGGGUGAGGAAUACAUCGGAAUCUACUUUUUCGUGGGGGAUAACGUAGGGAAACUUACGCUAAUACCGCAUACGACCUACGGGUGAAAGCAGGGGAUCUUCGGACCUUGCGCGAUUGAAUGAGCCGAUGUCGGAUUGGCUAGUUGGCGGGGUAAAGGCCCACCAGGGCGACGAUCCGUAGCUGGUCUGAGAGGAUGAUCAGCGACACAGAAACUGAGACACGGUCCAGACUCCUACGGGAGGCAGCAGUGGGGAAUGUUGGACAAUGGGCGCAAGCCUGCUCCAGCCAUACCGCGUGGGUGAAGAAGGCCUUCGGGUUGUAAAGCCCUUUUGUUGGGAAAGAAAAGCAGCAGGUUAAUACCCCGCUGUUCUGACGGUACCCAAAGAAUAAGCACCGGCUAACUUCGU
rnacentral:rRNA from 1 species